rnacentral:rRNA from 1 species
UAAAGUGGCGCACGGGUGAGUAACACGUGACUAACCUAACCCUUGAGUGGGGGAUAACCUCGGGAAACCGGGGCUAAUACCGCAUAAUAUCGAGAGAUCAAAGGAGCAAUUCGCUUAAGGAGGGGGUCGCGGCUGAUUAGCUAGUUGGUGAGGUAACGGCUCACCAAGGCUAUGAUCAGUAUCCGGCCUGAGAGGGCGCACGGACACACUGGAACUGAAACACGGUCCAG